rnacentral:rRNA from 1 species
UACGUAGGGUGCAAGCGUUGUCCGGAAUUAUUGGGCGUAAAGAGCUCGUAGGCGGUCUGUCGCGUCGGCUGUGAAAACCCGUGGCUCAACCCCGGGCCUGCAGUCGAUACGGGCAGACUAGAGUGCGGUAGGGGAGACUGGAAUUCCUGGUGUAGCGGUGAAAUGCGCAGAUAUCAGGAGGAACACCGAUGGCGAAGGCAGGUCUCUGGGCUGACACUGACGCUCAUGCACGAAAGCGUGGGGAGCAAACAGG